AUUAGUGAUACGCCUGUUGGGUAGGGGAGCGUUGUGUAAGCGGAAGAAGGUUCAUCGAGAGGUGGGCUGGACGUAUCACAAGUGCGAAUGCUGACAUAAGUAACGAUAAAACGGGUGAAAAACCCGUUCGCCGGAAGACCAAGGGUUCCUGUCCAACGUUAAUCGGGGCAGGGUGAGUCGGCUCCUAAGGCGAGGCUGAAAAGCGUAGUCGAUGGGAAACAGGUUAAUAUUCCUGUACUUGGUAAAGCUGCGAUGUGGGGACGGAGUAGGUUAGGUUAUCGCACUGUUGGAUAUGUGCGUUUAAGUUGGUAGGUGGGAAGUUUAGGCAAAUCCGGACUUCCUUAACACAGAGAGAUGAUGACGAGGCUCUACGGAGCUGAAGUAACUGAUACCACACUUCCAGGAAAAGCCACUAAGCGAAAGGCUUUACUAAACCGUACUGAAAACCGACACAGGUGGUCAGGUAGAGAAUACUCAGGCGCUUGAGAGAACUCGGGUGAAGGAACUAGGCAAAAUAGCACCGUAACUUCGGGAGAAGGUGCGCCGGCGUAGAUUGUAAGGGCUAGCCCCUGAAGGUUGAACCGGUCGAAGUGACCCGCUGGCUGCAACUGUUUAUUAAAAACACAGCACUCUGCAAACACGAAAGUGG
rnacentral:rRNA from 1 species